rnacentral:snRNA from 1 species
GUGCUCACUUUGGCAGCACAUAUAGUAAAAUUGGAAUGGUACAGGGAAGAUUAGCAUGGCCUCUGCACAAGGAUGACACACAAAUUCAUGAAGCGUUCCAUCAUCAU